rnacentral:rRNA from 1 species
UACGACUACAUAUCAGGCAUAUCAAUAAGCGGAGGAAAAGAAACUAACAAGGAUUCCCUUAGUAACGGCGAGUGAAGCGGGAAGAGCUCAAAUUUGAAAUCUUCAAGGUUUUACCUUGACGAAUUGUAGUUUAAAGAAGUGUUUUCUGUUGGAGUUUUGGUAAAAGUUCUUUGGAAUAGGACAUCAUAGAGGGUGAGAAUCCCGUAUUUGACCAUUAUUUCCAGCUUUGUGAUACACUUUCAAAGAGUCGGAUUGUUUGGGAAUGCAGUCCAAAAUGGGUGGUAAAUUUCAUCUAAAGCUAAAUAUUGGCGAGAGACCGAUAGCGAACAAGUACCGUGAGGGAAAGAUGAAAAGAACUUUGAAAAGAGAGUUAAACAGUACGUGAAAUUGUCAAAAGGGAAGCGUUUGACACCAGUGUUGUUUAGUUGAAAAUCAAUUAAAUAAUUUUUGAUUUUAAGUAGUAUUGACUUCAUCAGCUUGCUGCUUUCUUUACGAAACUUUCUUAAUGCACUUUUCGGUUAACAAGUCAACAUCAAUUUCUUUUGUUGUAAAAGGGUACGAGGAAGGUGGCUUUCUUUUCGGAGAAAGUGUUUAUAGCCUUGUACCUCUGCAAUCGGAGAGAUUGAGGUCUGCAGCGUAGAUCCUUCGGGGUUAGAUACAUUUGUGCUAAGUUAUAGCUUUUCAUAGACAACUUGUUGACUAUGUUUAGUCUUGUAGCUUACUCGCUUAUGCUAUUUUACCUACGCUUAGGAUGUUGAACGCGCACAGAGUCUC